UUAUAUCAGUGAGUCGAUUAAUUGCUAUUGUAUUCAUGAUUUAUCGAUAGCUACAUUUAUUAUGGUAGUCAUGACUUAAUAAGUGCACGUUAUAAUUACGCAUCGAUAGGACUUGUAAGUGAUGACUGCAUACUUUAAACACGUGAUAAUUUUCGUUGCUUUUCAUUAUUAAAUACAAUUCAGAUAUAAACCUUUUUACUGGCUGAACUAGUGACCUGUCAAAACGGCUUCAAGCGUAGGCCUAUCCUUUUUCUGCUCAGAAAACUGCUGGCUGCUGCAGCACAACGCAUCUUUGGAUGUUCUGGGUGUAUGGCAAGGACGGCCCCGGUUUGAAAUAUUCAUACCCAGAUCGAUAUGAGCUUGCCCGAGGAGAGCACUAAUCAAAAGCGAAGGAAGAUGCUGCGACGUCAUUUACGUGACGAUUUACAUUUUGUCCCCUUCAAUCGUGACUCAAAUAGAAAAAAUAGGCAGUUAACCUUCUCGGUAAGU